rnacentral:rRNA from 1 species
AAUAUUGCACAAUGGGCGCAAGCCUGAUGCAGCAACGCCGCGUGCGCGACGAAGGCCUUCGGGUCGUAAAGCCCUUUUCUGGGAGAUGAGUACGGACAGUAUCCCCGGAAGAAGGAGCGGCUAACUACGUUCAAGCAGCCGCGGUAAAACGUAGGAUCCGGGCGUUAUCCGAAUUCACUGGGGGUAAAGCGCAUGUAGGCGGCCGCACAAGUUGGAUGUGAAAUCUCCCGGCUCAACUGGGAGGGGACGUUCAAAACUGUGCGGCUCGAGGGCGGUAGAGGAAGGUAGAAUUCCCGGUGUAGUGGUGAAAUGCGUAGAUAUCGGGAGGAAUACCCGUGGCGAAGGCGACCUUCUGGACCGUUUCUGACGCUCAGAUGCGAAAGCUAGGGGAGCGAACGGG